UAUUUGUCGCAUGGCGAAUAUGGGAAAGCUCCGGCGGCAAAGGAUGGGCCCGCGGCCUGUUAGCUAGUUGUGGGGUAGUGGCUACCAAGGCAAUGAUGGGUAGCCGGGUUGAGAGACCGACCGGCCAGAUUGGGACUGAGACACGGCCCAGACUCCUACGGGAGGCAGCAGUGGGGAAUCUUGCACAAUGGGCGAAAGCCUGAUGCAGCGACGCCGCGUGCGGGAUGAAGGCCUUCGGGUUGUAAACCGCUUUCAGCAGGGACGAGGCCGCAAGGUGACGGUACCUGCAGAAGAAGCCCCGGCUAACUACGUGCCAGCAGCCGCGGUAAAU
rnacentral:rRNA from 1 species